UGCGUAGGCGGAACUUUAAGUCAGUGGUGAAAUCCUGCGGCUCAACCGUAGAACUGCCAUUGAUACUGAUGUUCUUGAAUGUAGUUGAGGUAGGCGGAAUGUGUAAUGUAGCGGUGAAAUGCUUAGAUAUUACACAGAACACCGAUUGCGAAGGCAGCUUGCUAAACUGUGAUUGACGCUGAUGCACGAAAGCGUGGGGAGCGAACAGGAUUAGAUACCCUGGUAGUC
rnacentral:rRNA from 1 species